GCUUGUUGGCGAGGUAACGGCUCACCAAGGCAACGACGGGUAGCUGGUCUGAGAGGAUGGCCAGCCACAUUGGGACUGAGAUACGGCCCAGACUCCUACGGGAGGCAGCAGUGGGGAAUCUUGCGCAAUGGCCGAAAGGCUGACGCAGCGACGCCGCGUGUGGGAUGAAGCAUUUCGGUGUGUAAACCACUGUUGCCCGGGACGAACAGCGCUUUUCGAGGCGCCUGACGGUACCGGGUGAGGAAGCACCGGCUAACUCCGUGCCAGCAGCCGCGGUAAUACGGAGGGUGCGAGCGUUGUCCGGAAUCAUUGGGCGUAAAGGGCGCGUAGGUGGCCUGUUAAGCGUGCGGUGAAAGCUCGGGGCUCAACCCCGAGUCGGCCGUGCGAACUGGGAGGCUCGAGCACUGUAGAGGCAGACGGAAUUCCGGGUGUAGCGGUGGAAUGCGUAGAGAUCCGGAAGAACACCGGUGGCGAAGGCGGCCUGCUGGGCAGUAGCUGACACUGAGGCGCGACAGCGUGGGGAGCAAACAGGAUUAGAUACCCUGGUAGUCCACGCCGUAAACGAUGGGCACUAGGCGCUUGGGGGAGCGACCCUCCGAGGGCCGGCGCUAACGCAUUAAGUGCCCCGCCUGGGGAGUACGG
rnacentral:rRNA from 1 species